AGUGAACGCUGGCGGUAGGCCUAACACAUGCAAGUCGAACGGCAGCACAGUAAGAGCUUGCUCUUACGGGUGGCGAGUGGCGGACGGGUGAGGAAUACAUCGGAAUCUACUUUUUCGUGGGGGAUAACGUAGGGAAACUUACGCUAAUACCGCACACGACCUACGGGUGAAAGCAGGGGAUCUUCGGACCUUGCGCGAUUGAAUGAGCCGAUGUCGGAUUAGCUAGUUGGCGGGGUAAAGGCCCACCAAGGCGACGAUCCGUAGCUGGUCUGAGAGGAUGAUCAGCCACACUGGGACUGAGACACGGUCCAGACUCCUACGGGAGGCAGCAGUGGGGAAUAUUGGACAAUGGGCGCAAGCCUGAUCCAGCCAUACCGCGUGGGUGAAGAAGGCCUUCGGGUUGUAAAGCCCUUUUGUUGGGAAAGAAAAGCAGCAGGUUAAUACCCCGCUGUUCUGACGGUACCCAAAGAAUAAGCACCGGCUAACUUCGUG
rnacentral:rRNA from 1 species